rnacentral:miRNA from 1 species
CAUGAGUGUGUGUGUGUGUGUGGGGGGGGGGGGGGGGAAAAAAACACACACACACACACACACACACACACACACACACACACACACACACACA